UCGUGCACAUUUUUGUUCGUUGCUCCAUUUUGUUGAUCCUUUUUCUUUUUCUUCUUUCCCUUCUUUUUUGGCUCUCC
rnacentral:ribozyme from 14 species